rnacentral:rRNA from 1 species
CAGUCGCCGCGGUAAUACGUAGGGUGCGAGCGUUGUCCGGAAUUAUUGGGCGUAAAGAGCUUGUAGGCGGUUUGUCGCGUCUGCUGUGAAAUCCCGAGGCUCAACCUCGGGCGUGCAGUGGGUACGGGCAGACUAGAGUGCGGUAGGGGAGAAUGGAACUCCUGGUGUAGCGGUGGAAUGCGCAGAUAUCAGGAAGAACACCGAUGGCGAAGGCAGUUCUCUGGGCCGUAACUGACGCUGAGAAGCGAAAGCGUGGGGAGCGAACAGGAUUAGAUACCCCUGUAGUCCCUGUCUCUUAUAC